CAUUUAUUUCUACUUCUGCAUGUGUUUCCUUAAGUCUUCCAAAACUUUGAUACAUUUGAUCAUUUAAUUUAACUUUCUUUGCAUUUUUAAUUUUCUCACUUUUUGGUUUGGUUUUGGUGACCUUUUUUUGAGGCCCCCACUCUCUCUUUUUAAAGAACCUUAUAAUAAUCUCUCUCUCUCUCUCUCUCUCAAAACAAUUCCCAUUCUCCACUCUCCACUCUCUCUCUCUCAACAAAAAAAAUGUCAUCUUUGAAGAAAAGAAAUUUCCACCUCUGGUUCUCAAAGCUCCGCUGCUUUCCGGCCACCGUCAAACCCUCAUCGCCGCCGCAAACGCCCAACAAGAAACCAUUUUCCAUUACCCACUUGGAAAACUCCGACUAUUCUUCUACCUCCACCGCUGCUGACGACGGUUUCUUCUCCGACGACUCCUCUUCUGAUUCCGACGCCAUCGUCCCUGACUUCUCCGCUGCCGUCGCUUCCCACCGGUUCUUCUUCUCCUCUCCUGGCUGCUCCAACUCUAUUUUUGACUCCUCUCCCGACACGCACCACAGCACCGCCGUUUCCGCCGCCGUACACGGCGGCGUCGAAGUUAGGAAGGUUUCAAUGGACCCAUUUGUGGAUUUUAGAGCGUCAAUGCAGGAGAUGGUCGAAGCGAGAGAUCGGCCAGUGGACGUCCGGCGAGAUUGGGAGUAUCUGCAGGAGCUUCUUCUUUGUUAUCUUCAAAUCAACCCCGUUGAUACUCAUAAGUUUAUAUUAAGAGCUUUCUCCGACCUCGUUGUUUAUUUGCUGGAAUCCUCGCCGGAGUCAUUCUCCGACCGCCGUAUUCGGCCGCACAAUAUCAACUCAAACAGCUGGUAAUUGGUGCAAUGACAACAAUAUAUCAUAUCAAUAUUUCAACGAUAUAUCUUUCCUACCCUUCACCAAUUAUCUCUCCUCCCAACCUUCCGAUGUUCGUAUUGUUUAUCCAAGAGUUCAUGAUCGGCGUGUGGCCGGGGGAGAAAAAGGCAUAUAGUAGUUGGUGAAAAAGGGGGUUGGAAUGUUUGUUGUAAGAAAGACAAAAACAAAAUUGUGGGUUAUUUCGAUGAUCAUCAAACACACACACACACACUCACUCACAAAAAUCAAAAGAAUCAAAGCCAAAGCGUGGUGUAUGUGCAAAAAAAGAGACAGAGAAUAUAAUAUAUAUAUAUAUAUUGUGUGUUUGUUUACUGUUUGGUUGGUGGAAGAGAAAAUGAGGGAAAGUAAAAGAAAAAAGAAAAAGAAAAAGAAAGUUUUUCUUGGGUACAUAAUUGCUGACAAAAGAAGGCAGAAGAAAGAGGGUUGGUUUUAUUGUCCUUCGAGAGGGAAAAAAGAAGAAGAAGAAGAAGAAGAGUUGAGGAGUGGUCCUAUAAGGUUGUAUGUUUGGUGAUGACAUUAAUGUUUGUAAUUUAAUGUGUUUUGCAGUCUGUAUCAUCAAACAAGCCUAACUGCUCAUAACACACACAACCUUUAUUUCUUCUUUUAUUUUGCAUUUGGGUCUGUGGAGAGGAAAAUGGGUGAAGAUAUCAAACCAUUUUUGCAUAACCAAAAGAGGCAUUUUUGAAUCUUGUAUGUAUAUUAUGCUUUGUGCAUUUGUUAUCUUCUUCUUUUUGGACAAAUUGGAGAAAUCGGUACUAAAAUAUGGUUACAGUUGUAAUGAUACCAUAAAAUACUUCAAGAAUAUAUUUUUACAAUUUGUUGUUUUGUUUAUUCUACAUGUAAGAGGGAGUUUGGCUUGAA